GUGUCAGCCGCCGCGGUAAUACGUAGGUGGCAAGCGUUGUCCGGAUUUAUUGGGCGUAAAGGGUGUGCAGGCGGAUAUUUAAGUCUGAUGUGAAAUCCCCGGGCUUAACUUUGGGGGUGCAUUGGAAACUGGAUGUCUAGAGUGCAGGAGAGGAAAGCAGAAUUCCAAGUGUAGCGGUGAAAUGCGUAGAGAUUUGGAGGAAUACCAGUGGCGAAGGCGGCUUUCUGGUCUGCAACUGACGCUGAGGCACGAAAGCGUGGGGAGCAAACAGGAUUAGAUACCCUGGUAGUCCAUGCCGUAAACGAUGAAUGCUAAGUGUAGGAGGUAUCGACUCCUUCUGUGCCGCAGCUAACGCAAUAAGUAUUCCGCCUGGGGAGUACGGUCGCAAGAUUAAAACUUAAAUGAAUUGACGG
rnacentral:rRNA from 1 species